UACGUAGGGUGCGAGCGUUGUCCGGAAUUAUUGGGCGUAAAGGGCUCGUAGGCGGUUUGUCGCGUCGGGAGUGAAAACUCAGGGCUUAACCCUGAGCCUGCUUCCGAUACGGGCAGACUAGAGGUAUGCAGGGGAGAACGGAAUUCCUGGUGUAGCGGUGAAAUGCGCAGAUAUCGGGAGGAACACCAGUGGCGAAGGCGGCACUCUGGGCCGGAACUGACGCUGAGGAGCGAAAGCGUGGGGAGCGAACAGG
rnacentral:rRNA from 1 species